UACGGAGGGUGCAAACGUUGUCCGGAAUCACUGGGCGUAAAGCGCAUGUAGGUGGUUUGGUAAGUGGGUGAUUAAAGACCGAUGCUUAACAUCGGGACUGUUACCUAUACUGCCUUACUAGAGGAUGACAGGGGUAAGCGGAACUUUAGGUGUAGGAGUGAAAUCCGUAGAUAUCUAAAGGAACACCAAUGGCGAAGGCAGCUUACUGGGUUUUUCCUGACACUGAGAUGCGAAAGCGUGGGGAGCGAACGGG
rnacentral:rRNA from 1 species